GAGGAAUAUUGCGCAAUGGCCGAAAGGCUGACGCAGCGACGCCGCGUGAAGGAUGAAGUCCGUUAGGACGUAAACUUCUUUUGCAGGGGAUGAACAGUCCGUUUUACGGAUUUGACCGUACCCUGCGAAUAAGGAUCGGCUAACUACGUGCCAGCAGCCGCGGUAAUACGUAGGAUCCGAGCGUUGUCCGGAUUUACUGGGGUAAAGGGCGUGUAGGUGGAUUGGCAAGUCGGUGGUUAAAGCCUGCGGCUCAACCGCAGAAUUGCCCUCGAUACUACCAAUCUUGAGUACGGCAGAGGGAGAUGGAAUUCAUGGUGUAGCGGUGAAAUGUGUAGAUAUCAUGAAGAACACCGGUAGCGAAGGCGGUCUCCUGGUCCGUUACUGACACUGAGGCGCGAAAGCGUGGGGAGCAAAC
rnacentral:rRNA from 1 species